rnacentral:lncRNA from 1 species
AAGCUCACUUACCUGAGUUGAAAAAAAUGUAUGGCUAGGAAGUUAUCAGUGAAGUUAAAUGGUGGCAGAUAUGUCCAAAGAAUACUGCAGGGAUUUAAUGGGCGUUAAUGAAUCACAUGAUGAAUGUGUGGAGAUGGCGGCUAGUGGGCAACAGAGCAAUACUGGAAUAGUGCUAAUAUGAGGAAAUGGUAUCAUCUAUUUAGAAGCCUCGGAACGACG